UACGUAGGGUGCAAGCGUUGUCCGGAAUUAUUGGGCGUAAAGAGCUCGUAGGCGGUUUGUUGCGUCGGCUGUGAAAACCUGAGGCUCAACCUCAGGCCUGCAGUCGAUACGAGCAGACUAGAGUGUUGCAGGGGAGACUGGAAUUCCUGGUGUAGCGGUGAAAUGCGCAGAUAUCAGGAGGAACACCGGUGGCGAAGGCGGGUCUCUGGGCAACAACUGACACUGAGGAGCGAAAGCGUGGGGAGCGAACAGG
rnacentral:rRNA from 1 species